GAUGAACGCUGGCGGCGUGCCUAAUACAUGCAAGUCGAACGAGGUGCCUUUGUAGCAAUACGAAGGUAUCCUAGUGGCGAACGGGUGAGUAACGCGUUGGUGACCUACCCCAAAGUGUGGGAUAACAGAUCGAAAGAUCUGCUAAUACCGCAUGUGGUCUUCGGAUUUAGAAACUGAUGACUAAAGGAGCAAUUCGCUUUGGGAGGGACCUGCGUCCCAUCAGCUAGUUGGUGAGGUAAUGGCUCACCAAGGCUACGACGGGUAGGGGACCUGAGAGGGUGGCCCCCCACAAUGGAACUGAAACACGGUCCAUACACCUACGGGUGGCAGCAGUAGGGAAUAUUGCACAAUGGGCGAAAGCCUGAUGCAGCAACGCCGCGUGUGCGAUGAAGGCCUUCGGGUCGUAAAGCACUUUUCUGAGGGAUGAGCAAGGACAGUACCUCAGGAAUAAGUCUCGGCUAACUACGUGCCAGCAGCCGCGGUAA
rnacentral:rRNA from 1 species